rnacentral:rRNA from 1 species
ACUCCUACGGGAGGCAGCAGUGGGGAAUAUUGCACAAUGGGAAGGCCAUCAUGCAGCGACGCAGCGUGCGGGAUGACGGCCUUCGGGUUGUAAACCGCUUUCAGCAGGGAAGAAGCGCAAGUGACGGUACCUGCAGAAGAAGUACCGGCUAACUACGUGCCAGCAGCCGCGGUAAUACGUAGGGUACGAGCGUUGUCCGGAAUUAUUGGGCGUAAGAGCUCGUAGGUGGUUGGUCACGUCUGCUGUGGAAACGCAACGCUUAACGUUGCGCGUGCAGUGGGUACGGGCUGACUAGAGUGCAGUAGGGGAGUCUGGAAUUCCUGGUGUAGCGGUGAAAUGCGCAGAUAUCAGGAGGAACACCGGUGGCGAAGGCGGGACUCUGGGCUGUAACUGACACUGAGGAGCGAAAGCAUGGGGAGGCGAACAGGAUUAGAUACCCUGUAGGCU